ensembl:lncRNA
GGGACACAUAUAAUUUAGCCCUGGGAACUUUAAAAAAAUUCCUGACAAUUAAUAAAUAGAAGAGUCUUUUGUGUGAUUUUAAAGUCACCGGAGGGCAGACAUAAAUUGUCAACUUACCUAAAAGAGAAACAUUCGCCUUUUCUAGAGAGGCUCACAUCGGCUUCCAGGGAGUGCAUCAUCCAUAAUUUAGCAUAACUGCUUUGAAAAUAAGUCUAUAAUCUUUAAAUAACUCUGUGGGUCUCUUGCCUGGAGUCUUCCUUUCAACUUCUUUCAUAGAAGAAUUUAUAAUCAAAUAAUAACACUGAUUUUAAAACAAGCAACCAUACAUCCAUCACUCAAGAACUCACUUAAGGUUUGGGGGGAGCCGUUUCAAAACAAAGCAGCAACAACAGCAAAACUCACCAUGGUAAAACUUUAACAGAGGAGAGCACCUAAGGACUCGGUGACUCAGUGUUAAAGGGAUGGGAAGUCAGGUCAUUUCCGAUGAUUGUGGCCUUUUACUUCCGGUUUCUCAGGCUCAAAUGAGAAAGGAGUGAGUCAGAAGGUGGGCAUGAUAACCCUGUAAAUCUCUGUGGCAGGGUGCCCUACUGUGUCUCAAGCCAUUCAGACGGGAGCUGUUUGUAGAUGGUGACUCCUUCAGAAAUAUUGGGAGCUGGCACAGUCAUGAAUUCAAAGCUGAGCCCUCAACUCUCCACAAUUGACCUAAGACUUAUGAUCGUCCAUUCUCUACUAUCCCUGCCCUCAAAAGAAGAUCUACAAUAUGAAAUCUUAGACCUCUCACUAAGCUAAUAAUUUACUACAGGAGAGGUCCUUGAGACUCAACACUCAGGAAAUAAGGUACUCUGGGGAUGUUGCCUAGAUACAUUGAGUUUGUUUGACAGGGUCUGUGUUUAUUCUCCCUUUGAAUUUUACCUUCAGUACAUUGCAUUCUCUGCUUUAGGGGAGACUGGAUUUGUAGAAAUCUCCAGAAAUAGGCAAAAUCAUGAGUAUUUUCUCCAACUUAAAAUGGUUUGGCCUAUUUUAUCCCUCUUUAAUACUUUGUUUAAGUUUCGCUACCUGUUUUAUUUUAUGAAAGUGGGGUACAGGGUGUGAGUUUUAAUAGUAAUGAAGCACAGGUCAAACAACAGCAGAAAGUGACCAUCAUGACCUAAAAAUAGGUCAAAGUCAUGUCUCAGGUAGCUGUGCAACAAGGCAAAUGCCGUCCACCUUUUUUUGGUGUGAUUAAACCUAAGUUAAAGUGAAAUAAUAAUGCAAGAAUUUGUUUUUUAAAAAAACUAGCAGAAAAGAAGAUUUGUUCUUGGAAAGGGAGGCGCCAUUCUUAUUCAUUUUUAAAGUGACCUCAGGCCUUGAAUGAGGGAACCCCGUGUAACUGACUUUUGGGGCGUUUAAGGAUAGAAAUGGGUGUUGCAGAGAUGCUCCUACUCAUGACCCUCCCCACCCACAACACAGGGACACCGCUUUCUUAUUUUAAGCUCACAUCUGAGUGCUUAUCCUGUGUCGGACCCUGGUCUAGGCACCUCAUAGUAACAUGAAACAUCCUCUCUACAACCCUGUUAUGUAGGCAAAUUUUAUAGAUAGGGAAAUCAAAGCAGAGAGAAGUCAACCUGCCCAAGGUCACACAGAGAAACAUGCCACCAAGCUAGGAAUCAAUUUCAGAUCCUUUGGCUCCAGAGCCGGAGUGCUUCACUGCAUUUAAUACUGUUCCCAUUUUAAAAGGGAUAUAGAAAAGGGUCAGAGACUGCGAAACAAAACAUACAGCAGAGACUGGGGG